rnacentral:lncRNA from 1 species
GGUGUCUUCAGUUUAGAGUUGACAAAUAGAGCUGCAUGAAGCUUGGAAACUGAGAGGUUACCUUGACAGACAAGGAGCACAAUUAUCACAAUAUGAUGAAAGAGUUUCCAUGAGUAUGUAUUGCACCGUUAAUUACUGUCCUUUUUCUACAGGCUUCUAAUGUGAGGAAAAACACGGAAUGACAAGUGUGGGAAAGAGCAAGCACUAAAUUACUGUCAGAAAAAUAAACGGAGUAGCACAGUGGUGCUCAGUGAUUUACGGGGGCAAUUAGUCACCACCCCACGGCACUGCUGAGGACAGCAUGGCAGCAGACACGUCAGGCCCAUGAGGAAGAAGAGGCUUUGCGCUGCUCUCCAGACAACUUUUCAAACAACACAAGAAUCUGAGUACAUUAGGUUCCAUGUCUUCAGUCUGGCCAAGAAUACCUGCUGUGAAAUGUGUUCAGUGUGUAUGUGUACAGCUGGAGAAUGUGCCCCAACAUGCUUUGCCUUUGGCCUUUAAUCUGGAGUCAUAAAGAAGCAGACCAUAUUGAUGAGCUUGGUACCCAGACUGGUGCACCAUUCAAUUGGAUGCCGGGUCUCUGCUAAAGAGAGUCACAAUGAAGAGAAUCUUCAGAUCUCUCUUGCUACUCUUCUGUUAUUCUGUUGUUAGGCUUUGUUUCCCUUGAAUUUUUUAAGCAUGCACUUUUAAAAACAAUUAAUAACAAACACUAAGAUUUGGUAUAGAAUUGCAUAUUUGCAACUGCAAAGGUACCAGUAUUCAACUAUUCUGUAACAAGGAAAGAAAACCAGGAAGAGAGACAAAUGUGUUUCUCUGUAACAUCACAGACAUAUGAAAUUGUUCACAUCUUAUGGAGAUACGGGGAAUAAUUCAACAUGGAAAUUUAACCAGUUAUUUUCCACCUGUGAAUAAGGUGCAUUUAAAAGUGCAUCAUUAUAUUUAGAUUUCUCUCUUUUUUCCUAAAAUCACCUUGUAGCUUCUGGUAGAGGGACACACUGGGAGAACUCCCCAUAUACAAAGAUAUGAAUUUUAAGAUAGAGCAUUAUAAAAAUAUUCCUAUAUGUGGCAC